CUCAUUUUGAAUGGGUUGGGGUUGAUAACAAGUCAAAUACAUUUAAUGCUUUAUGAUUUCCGUCAAAUUAAAUAUAAAAAGUAGAACUUGUAUUUAUGUGUUUUAUUACCCCUUCUACAUUAUAUAUUUAAUGCGCCCCAUUUACCAUAUAAUGCCAACAUAAUUUGAUUCAUGAUGACUAUAUCCACCUUCUAGAAUGUUAAAGGGACACUAUAGGCACC